GCAGCUGAAGAAAAAGGCUCAAAUGAUCCAGUCACUUUCGAUACUGUACUUCAGAUGCAAAAUGGAUAUUCGAGGCGAAACCUGACAAAAUGCGCCUACUUUGAUGGCAACCGGUAUAGACAAUGACCAGUGGCUGGGUCAGUGGGAUGUCUCUCUGCAAGCAGGGAAGCUUAUCAAAUGACACUAAAAAUAAGUUCAACAACCAUCACAUUUUGAGGGGAAAGGGAAAUGUUUCACGUUGGGCGGGCAUGCUCGUGCGCAAGAUGGAAAAGGAGAAGGCAUGCGUGUUGGUCUAAUUAUCCCUCCUUUGUUGCCUGGCACUGAAACCUCAAGGGGCAUGAAAUUAUUCCCUUGGCCGAUGACCAGAUUUGCCGCUGUCUCUGAGCAAGUCUUUCCCCCCACCGGGCAGCCCCCUUGCUGAUGAGGAAGGGCAUACUGGAAGAGGUCCUGUUCUUUAGAUCGAAGAGGGUAUAAAAAUCUAAUGUGGUAGAAACUGUUGGACGACCGUAGUCUUCCGCGCAAUCGCUACGGGAGGCACUGUCUGGCCACAAAUGUGAUAGAUAGAUAGAUAUUUAGGUCAAAAUGUUGAGGGUGGUGAAAGACAUGGGGAAGAGAAGCUGUUACGGUCAUGAAGGACUUGAGCUUCCCCGCAGUUGAGGUGGAUUCAAGCCAGAGAAAAGAAACCGUGUUUUUCAACAUUCGAGACGAUUAUGCCUUACCUUGGUUGGAGACCCCUGUCUAAGGCAAGGAAUUUCCCACCUUGGCAACUUUAAAGACCCGUGGACUUCAACUCCCAGAAUUCCCCUGAGUGUGUAAAUGGCUGGUUGGGAAAUUCUGGGAGUUGAUGUCCAUAAGUCUUAAAAGUUGCCAAGGUUGGACCUUCCUGGUCUAAGAAAUCACUAGAAUUCACUUGAGAAGUCAAAUAUAAAAAUUGGCUGCAGUGCCAAAGAUCUGGGAGGUAACCAAGCUGGCCUCAUGUUUAGAAGAGGAACCCAGAGAAAAUCUGUCAUAUUCUAAUAUGGUAAGCUAAGCAUCUAGGCAAGUUCACGUGGAGGAAUAGAAGAAUAAAUGUUGGUGAAGGAAAGUCACAUGAUCUACGCAAGGUAGAUCUUGCAUCAAUCAGUUUUUAAUUUAGGGUAUCAACAAGCACAGGGUGGAAAUGACUCUGUUGAUAACGCAUGCAUUAAUAUCCAGAAAGCCUUUGACAAUAUCAAAAGCUUUUGAGUACACAUAACUGGUGGGCCUGUUCUUUUACGGAUUGCCACAAGACUCAAAAACAGAAAGUGAAGACUAAUUGGCAUUCUUCUCGGAAAACAUAACUAAGAAAUCGAGUUCCUCACAGAUCUGUGUUGAGACUGGAGCUUUUUAACUUGUUCAUAAAUUGUGUUUGUUGAGAUUAAUCAGAGGACUGGUCAAAGUUGGGGUGAAAACCAAAAAAAAGGGCUUUCCGUAACCCACAAGGAAUGAAAGUUGAUGUCAACUCAAAAGUACGGCAGCUGUGAAAAAGAUAAAUUCCAUUGCAGAGAUUAACAGCAAAAGGAUUGUAAAUGAAACUGUUAUACUGAACUUAUACAAAUUUGUGAUGUUAUUUUGCAAUAUUUGGAAUGUGAUUUACAGUUCGGGUUAUAAAGUUUGAAAAGGAUGUUGAUAAAGCUGGAGAAAGUGCAGAAGGUGGUAGCCAAAAUCUUCAGGGAAGCGCUAACACCUUAUGAGGAAAAGGUAGAGCGUUUGGGACUUUUUAGCUUAGAAAAAGUUGAGGUGUAUAAACCGUGCGAUGUGUAGAGGAAGUGGAAGGAGAAGAAUGUUAGAAUCGGGCUCACCUAGUAAAUCUUAUUGGAAGGAGAUUUAGAGAAAAAAAAAGAGGUGGAAGCAUUUCAGGCAACACGUAAUUAAUCUGUGGGAUUCAUUACCAGAAAAGAUGGCGAUUUGCCAUCAACUUGUAUGGCUUUCAAAGGGGACUUGAAUAACUCCAUGAAGUCUACCAAAGGUUGUCUGUCUUGAAGACUCCAUGUUGGAAAAGUCUUCCUUUAGAUACCAAUAAUAGGGAAGAAGUGAUGGGAGAAAGAUACCACCUUGGGUCCUUCUUCGGAGCACCACGGUCAUCUGGUUGACUGACCACCGUGAGGAAGCAAAUGCUGGACUAAGAAGGACCUUGUUCCAAAAUCGUUGGUCUUACAUCCUUGCCUAGUUUUGGCUUAAGAUGACCUUUCUCACCGAAAGCAUGUGAGUUCACUCAGAUUAAAGACUUAAGGUUCUACAUGCUGCUGUUCUUAAAGGCUGUUGCAUCUUUUAAACGGAUUUAUAGUCUUCUCCAAUUAAUGGUUUCCACCACUGAAGCUGCCUUCCCGUACCAUUUUGUGAAGGGUAAGGAGGCCAGCCACAGGCUAACUCAGGGGAUUUCUGCUUAAAUAAUUCUGUAAAAUUGUCUGGUUGUACAGUGUGUUAAAUGCGGGGUUAGCAAGAGCAGUAACAACACAAUAUAGCACCAUCAUCUCCUGCAACUCUCAAAAGGUUUAGCUUUGCUGGCUGAGGAAUUCUGGAAGUUGAAGUCCUCCAGGGUUAAAGUUGUCAAGGUUGGAGACCCCUGGUUUAGCUCAUAGCUUUCAAACCAGAUCCGCAGACUUCUGCAGCUAGGGAAGAAUAUAAAAUGAGAGAAUGAUUUGGUGUACAGAUUGUUUAAUACCUGCAAUUCCUCACAAGCAAAUAACUUUAUUUAUCUGUGUGAUUUUUUUUUUACAUUUCUGCAAGAAUAAGAUAAAACAUCAAAUCAUUUCAGUUUCUUACCCACUUCCUAUAGUUGUGGAUCAAUACCUGGAAACCUCUGAUACGGAAUUUGAAAUUAAUUCACAUUGCAGAUCAAAAAUAUUUCAAGACAAAAUGUUUAGAAAAAGGCUUAAUACAUUUUGUUUGUUUAGAAAACAGUCUAAUAGGUUUUGUUACAGGGGAUAUUUAGUUCCUUCCUUUAUUAAAAGUAUAUUGAGAGAUUGCACCAAUCUCAAAAUAGAUAUAUUUGCAAAGAAGGCAUCGGUUAAUGAGUUUUGAUAUUCAAACAGAUCAUAUAUAAAAUUGAUCAUAUGCAGUAUUUCCAUCUUUAAUAAUUUCUAUUCUAAUUCUUUAUAUUCCUUUCUGUGGAACAACAAAGGUUUUUCAGGGUACAACUUUUCAUUAUUUAAUUCAACAGUUAAAAAUCAUUUAAACCAAUAGAUCCUGACACAAAUGAUUGCUAAUCUCAUUGUUGACGUGGAGUAAAAAAAUAUCAAGAUCUGUUUUAAAAGGUUUUUGGCUGUAUUUACCAAGUUCAUGUCCUGUCAGCUUUACUACAAAUAACCAAAGCAUUAUUAAAUUAAUAACAUAUAUUAAAAGAAUUAAAGCUAUGUAUUUAUACCAGUG